rnacentral:rRNA from 1 species
UACGUAGGGGGCAAGCGUUGUCCGGAAUCAUUGGGCGUAAAGCGCGUGUAGGCGGCCCGGUAAGUCCGCUGUAAAAGUCCAGGGCUCAACCCUGGAAAGCCGGUGGAUACUGUCGGGCUCGAGUCCGGAAGAGGCGAGUGGAAUUCCUGGUGUAGCGGUGAAAUGCGUAGAUAUCGGCAGGAACGCCGGUGGCGAAAGCGGCGUGCUGGGUCCUUCCUGACGCUGAGGCACGAAAGCGUGGGGAGC